UGGGUCAAAUCUUAUUUAAAACACACCAAAAAACACCCAAGAAAAAUAGUUAAACAAAACUUAAAAGCAACACUAACUAAAACCACACAUCCAAAUACAGUGUUUAUCAGUCACCAAUUCUAAAAAUCCAUUUUCUACAUACAUUGUUAGUAUACCUCUUAACACCUAACCUUAUCCCUCACAAACUUUAAAUUGUACAUCAAAAAAUCUAAUACAUAACAAACUCUUAAAAUACCAUUUAUACAUUCUUACCCAAAUUACAGUUAAAU